UGGCUGCAACCACAUGAUCAAAUUUCGAAGGUAAACUUCUUAAAACUUUUGAAACUACAAUUUCAUCGCCUACCUCUUCACCAUAUGAUUUCAUUUGACUUACAAUUCCGCUAACUCUUGAUAAAAAAUCUUGCACAGAUUCACUGUUUUUCAUGAACAAUGUUUCAAAAUCACGACGAAGAGAUUGUAGUUUCACAGUGAUUACCUUUGAGGAACCUUGAAACUCGGUUUUCAAAGUCAGCCAAGCAUCUCUUGAGGUAGCAGCUGCUGCAAUUCUUGAGAAAAUUGUCUCAUGAACGGCUUGCUGAAUAAAGAACAAAGCUUUGGCGUCCAACUUUCUGAUUGCUUUUAAUCUCCUUUCUUCCUCUGCAUCCGGCUCUUGUACAUCAACGAACACAUCUUCGACUAUGUCC
rnacentral:lncRNA from 1 species